rnacentral:rRNA from 1 species
GGGAAAGAAACUUACCAGGGAUCCCUAGUACGGCGAGUGAAGCGGGAAGAGCACAAAUUUAAAAUCUACCUGGUUUCCAGGUCGAGUUGUAAUUUGAAGAUACGUUUUUGAUGUUCCUGGUUGGACUAAAUCCUUUGGGAUAAGGUAUCAUAGAGGGUGAGAAUCCCGUGUAUACCAACCNCAGGGAUGUUAUUUAAUAACGUUUCUAAGAGUCGAGUUGUUUGGGAAUGCAGCUCUAAAUGGGUGGUAAAUUUCACCUAAUGCUAAAUAUAAGCGAGAGACCGAUAGCGAACAAGUACAGUGAUGGAAAGAUGAAAAGAACUUUGAAAAGAGAGUUAAAUAGUACGUGAAAUUGUUGAAAGGGAAACGAUUGAAGUCAGUCAUGCCGRYGGGAAUCAACUUAGRGGAAACUCUGGGUGCACUUCUUCGUUUGGCAGGUYARYGUCGAUUUUGRAUGUCAUAAAAUAAUUGGGGGAAGGUAGCUCCUUCGGGAGUGUUAUAGCCCUUGGUAGAUGUGAUGUCUGGGAUCGAGGAUUGCAACGGAUACCCUUCGGGGCUAACCGCCUGAUCUCUAAUYGGUGUUGGGUUACGGACAGCAUGCUGACCGUGAUCUAAUUACUGGUUAAAAGGUUAGAGCGUGYAUAAAUUCGUAAAGAC